rnacentral:rRNA from 1 species
UGGGGAAUUUUGGACAAUGGGGGCAACCCUGAUCCAGCCAUCCCGCGUGUGCGAUGAAGGCCUUCGGGUUGUAAAGCACUUUUGGCAGGGAAGAAACAGCCUGGGAUAAUACCCCGGGCGACUGACGGUACCUGCAGAAUAAGCACCGGCUAACUACGUGCCAGCAGCCGCGGUAAUACGUAGGGUGCAAGCGUUAAUCGGAAUUACUGGGCGUAAAGCGUGCGCAGGCGGUUCGGAAAGAAAGGUGUGAAAUCCCAGGGCUUAACCUUGGAAUUGCACUUUUAACUACCGAGCUAGAGUACGUCAGAGGGGGGUAGAAUUCCACGUGUAGCAGUGAAAAUGCGUAGAGAUGUGGAGGAAUACCGACGGCGAAAGGCAGCCCCCCUGGGCCAAAUACUGACGCUCAUGCACGAAAAGCGUGGGGAGCAAAACAGGAUUAGAUACCCUGGUAGUCCACGCCCUAAAACGAUGUCAACUAGUUGUUGGGGAUUCAUUUCCUUAGUAACGUAGCUAAACGCGUGAAAGUUGACCGCCUGGGGAGUAACGGUCGCAAAGAUUAAAAACUCAAAAUGAAUUGACGGGGUCAUAGCUGUUUCC